CCAACACCUCACCUCGCCCCCGCCGCCAUCUUCCUCCUCCCUUGGCAGCCCCGCCCCCAGUAGUACAUGGACAGUUCCGAUUGGCCAGCGUGGAAUUCUGACGCGGCUUCUGGGUCCGAGAACGUGGCCCGUUCCGGCGCAGUGAGGGAAGGCGCACGCCUGCGAACUAGCCGGGCCGAUACCGCGGGCGCCCCCUGGUCGCGUGGAGGGCGAUGAGCGAACGACCCGGGACUUGUCUGAAUGGGACCCCAGCAAGGCACACGUGGUCUUCAAUGCGAUGGGCGCUUCCAGGGGACCCGGCGUCCCUUGGGUCCAGGAAGUCUUAUACUGUCUCCUCUCACGGCCCCGACAGAAACGGUUUCUGAGGAGUAGAAGUGUCCUAAGUGGAUUGGAAAUUACAAAUGCCGGAAAGAACCUAGGGAUGGAAAGCAGCCCUCAACUCAGCCCACCAGCACCCAGUUGAAAUAAACAGCCAUGUUGCUCACAGAAAGCCUGUUUGGUGAUCUCUUCACACGGACACAUGAAACAUUUGGUGCCAAAGACCCGGGUCAGUGGGACUCCUUUUGGAGACCAGUCCCCUGUCCUCACCCUCACUCCGUGAAGAGAUCCACCUACGACCUCAGGUCCUCAGACCAACCAGCCCAAGGAACAUCUCACCGAUUUUAAAUCAGGACCCCACUAGAAAUUGGACUGUCCAACUGGCCCAAGGCUCUGAUCGACUCCUUCCCAGAUCUCCUCGGCUUAGCAGCUGAAGACUGACACUGCCUGAUCGCCUCGGAAGCCCCUUGGACCAUCACGGACGCUGAGCUUCGGGUAACUCUCACAGUGAAGGGAAACUGAAUUCCAAAAAGGAAACGAACUAACUCAAAUUUUCCCUGAUCUGGAAUUACAAGCAUCAGCUCAUUAUUCCUGCAAUAAAACCGAUUGGCCAGGAGCUAAACAGAAGACUUCUAAAAAAUGAAAACCCCUGGCCGGGCGCGGUGGCUCACGCCUGUAAUCCCAGCACUUUGGGACGCCGAGGCAGGCGGAUCACGAGGUCAGGAGAUCGAGACCAUCCCGGCUAACACUGUGAAACCCCGUCUCUACUAAAAAUGCGAAAAAUUAGCCGGGCGUGUUGGCGGGCGCCUGUAGUCCCAGCUACUCGGGAGGCUGAGGCAGGAG
rnacentral:lncRNA from 1 species